UACGUAGGGAGCAAGCGUUGUCCGGAUUUACUGGGUGUAAAGGGUGCGUAGGCGGCAGUGCAAGUCAGGUGUGAAAUGUAUGGGCUUAACCCAUAGACUGCAUUUGAAACUGUGCUGCUUGAGUGAAGUAGAGGCAGGCGGAAUUCCCGGUGUAGCGGUGAAAUGCGUAGAGAUCGGGAGGAACACCAGUGGCGAAGGCGGCCUGCUGGGCUGUAACUGACGCUGAGGCACGAAAGCAUGGGUAGCAAACAGG
rnacentral:rRNA from 1 species